rnacentral:sRNA from 1 species
AGGAAGUUGGCUGCUUUUAGCCGAUCUGAGCCAUAACAUAGGUGAGGAGGGAGGGGCCAAUAGCUAGGAGCAAUUUAUUCAUCACGGACUCAAGUAUAUGUGAGAAGCUGUCUUUGCUCGGUGCUUAUCAUCUCUGAAGGAUGAGAGAAUUCAAGCUAGCAAAAAGCUGAAGGGUCCCCAGAAGUUCCAGUUUGAUGGUGAUAAGAAAUCAUUCCUGGAGGACAUUCGGAAGGCACUCUACGCUUCCAAGAUCAUCUCUUAUGCUCAAGGCUUUAUGCUGCUAAGGCAGGCAGCCACCGAGUUUGGCUGGACCCUCAAUUAUGGUGGCAUUGCCCUGAUGUGGAGAGGGGGCUGCAUCAUUAGAAGUGUAUUCCUAGGAAAGAUAAAGGAUGCAUUUGAUCGAAACCCGGAACUUCAGAACCUCCUACUGGACGACUUCUUUAAGUCAGCCGUUGGGAGCUGCCAGGACUCCUGGCGGCGGGCAGUCAGCACUGGGGUCCAGGCUGGCAUUCCCAUGCCCUGUUUUACCACUGCCCUCUCCUUCUAUGACGGGUACAGACAUGAGAUGCUUCCAGCCAGCCUCAUCCAGGCUCAGCGGGAUUACUUCGGGGCUCACACCUAUGAACUCUUGGCCAAACCAGGGCAGUUUAUCCACACCAACUGGACAGGCCAUGGUGGCACUGUGUCAUCCUCGUCAUACAAUGCCUGAUCAUGCUGCUCCUGUCACCCUCCACGAUUCCACAGACCAGGACAUUCCAUGUGCCUCAUGGCACUGCCACCUGGCCCUUUG